rnacentral:rRNA from 1 species
GACGAACGCUGGCGGCGUGCUUAACACAUGCAAGUCGAACGAUGAAGGAGAGCUUGCUCUCCGGAUUAGUGGCGAACGGGUGAGUAACACGUGACUAACCUGCCCCUUUCUCUGGGAUAACGCUCCGAAAGGAGUGCUAAUACCGGAUACGAACUCUGAACACAUGUUCGGAGUUGGAAAGUUUUUCGGAAAGGGAUGGAGUCGCGGCCUAUCAGCUUGUUGGUGAGGUAACGGCUCACCAAGGCGACGACGGGUAGCCGGCCUGAGAGGGCGACCGGCCAAACUGGGACUGAGACACGGCCCAGACUCCUACGGGAGGCAGCAGUGGGGAAUAUUGCACAAUGGGCGAAAGCCUGAUGCAGCGACGCCGCGUGAGGGAUGAAGGUCCUCGGAUUGUAAACCUCUUUCAGUAGGGACGAAGCGAAAGUGACGGUACCUAAAGAAGAAGCACCGGCUAACUACGUGCCAGCCGCCGCCGUAA